rnacentral:rRNA from 1 species
UGGGCGCAAGCCUGAUGCAGCCAUGCCGCGUGUAUGAAGAAGGCCUUCGGGUUGUAAAGUACUUUCAGCAGUGAGGAAGGMGGGUUCGUUAAUAGCGUGCUCGUUUGACGUUAGCUGCAGAAGAAGCACCGGCUAACUCCGUGCCAGCAGCCGCGGUAAUACGGAGGGUGCGAGCGUUAAUCGGAAUUACUGGGCGUAAAGCGCAUGCAGGUGGUUUGUUAAGUCAGAUGUGAAAGCCCGGGGCUCAACCUCGGAAUAGCAUUUGAAACUGGCAGACUAGAGUACUGUAGAGGGGGGUAGAAUUUCAGGUGUAGCGGUGAAAUGCGUAGAGAUCUGAAGGAAUACCGGUGGCGAAGGCGGCCCCCUGGACAGAUACUGACACUCAGAUGCGAAAGCGUGGGGAGCAAACAGGAUUAGAUACCCUGGUAGUCCACGCCGUAAACGAUGUCUACUUGGAGGUUGUGGCCUUGAGCCGUGGCUUUCGGAGCUAACGCGUUAAGUAGACCGCCUGGGGAGUACGG